CUGGGAGGACCAUCUCCUAAGGCUAAAUACUCUCUAGUGACCGAUAGUGAACCAGUACCGUGAGGGAAAGGUGAAAAGCACCCCGGAAGGGGAGUGAAAUAGAACCUGAAACCGUGUGCUUACAAGUAGUCAGAGCCCGUUAAUGGGUGAUGGCGUGCCUUUUGUAGAAUGAACCGGCGAGUUACGAUUUGAUGCAAGGUUAAGCAGUAAAUGUGGAGCCGUAGCGAAAGCGAGUCUGAAUAGGGCGUUUAGUAUUUGGUCGUAGACCCGAAACCAGGUGAUCUACCCUUGGUCAGGUUGAAGUUCAGGUAACACUGAAUGGAGGACCGAACCGACUUACGUUGAAAAGUGAGCGGAUGAACUGAGGGUAGCGGAGAAAUUCCAAUCGAACCUGGAGAUAGCUGGUUCUCUCCGAAAUAGCUUUAGGGCUAGCCUCAAGUGAUGAUUAUUGGAGGUAGAGCACUGUUUGGACGAGGGGCCCCUCUCGGGUUACCGAAUUCAGACAAACUCCGAAUGCCAAUUAAUUUAACUUGGGAGUCAGAACAUGGGUGAUAAGGUCCGUGUUCGAAAGGGAAACAGCCCAGACCACCAGCUAAGGUCCCAAAAUAUAUGUUAAGUGGAAAAGGAUGUGGCGUUGCCCAGACAACUAGGAUGUUGGCUUAGAAGCAGCCAUCAUUUAAAGAGUGCGUAAUAGCUCACUAGUCGAGUGACACUGCGCCGAAAAUGUACCGGGGCUAAACAUAUUACCGAAGCUGUGGAUUGUCCUUUGGACAAUGGUAGGAGAGCGUUCUAAGGGCGUUGAAGCAUGAUCGUAAGGACAUGUGGAGCGCUUAGAAGUGAGAAUGCCGGUGUGAGUAGCGAAA
rnacentral:rRNA from 1 species